UUAACUAUAUUUUUAACAAGUAUGGUAAUGCGGCAAGUUCUCACAAAAUUAUGGAGAAAUAUUAGUCCUGCGAUAUAUACAUCAAGUAUAUUAUUUGCACAUUGUACCUCAUUUGACAAGCUUAAUGAAAAUGAGAAGUUGAAACUGGAUCCUCCAGAUAUAAAAAAACUAACCUAUGAGUAUAUGAUAAAACAAUCUGCAUUGGAUGCUGCUAAUAGUGCAACCCAGGCAUUAACUGUCACUUACAUGGCUAUAAUAGAUCUGAGCGUUGCAUACAGAUUAUUGUUAAAUGAACUCAUUUCUCUUCUCGAAGAAACUAUAAUACGCAACGUAAAUGAUGCACACUGGGAUCUGAUUGUGGAAGUACGAAACGAAAUGCAAGACAAGAAAGAGAAGAUUACGCGCUUAGCUACCUAUAUGGAUUAUGUGCAUAAAAUGGCAGUAGCUAGCGCAGAAUUAAGUUAUAUGUGUGGAAUAGACAGUUUGUCCAGUACACUUCAACAGAGGAUAGAGGAUGCGUUAGCUAAAGUAAAAGCAGAAACUGAUAGCAAUACAAAGUUGGAACAAGCAUACUGGCAUAUACAGGAACAGUGCAUCAAAGGCAGUAAAAAAAAAUACUGAAAAACAAUAAAUUUUUAUAGGAAAGAGUUCAACAUUCUCUUUCAAAAAAUCUAUUCCUAUUACAAAAAUCAAGUUUUUAAAAUACAGUAUCAAGACAUAUGUACAUAGAAUAUUUACAGAUGUGCAAGAGCAGCUUCAAACAUCUAAAUGAAUUGAGACAAUAUGUCGACCAGGCACCAUCACCAAGC